GAUGAACGCUAGCGACAGGCUUAACACAUGCAAGUCGAGGGGCAGCAUGAAAGGUAGCAAUACUUUUUGAUGGCGACCGGCGCACGGGUGAGUAACACGUAUGCAACCUGCCCAUUGCAGGGGGAUAAGCGGAAGAAAUUCCGUCUAAUACCGCGUAAUAUCCUUUGAAGGCAUCUUCAUAGGAUUAAAGAAAUUCGGCAAUGGAUGGGCAUGCGGCGCAUUAGCUAGUUGGCGGGGUAACGGCCCACCAAGGCGACGAUGCGUAGGGGUUCUGAGAGGAAGGCCCCCCACACUGGUACUGAGACACGGACCAGACUCCUACGGGAGGCAGCAGUGAGGAAUAUUGGUCAAUGGGCGAGAGCCUGAACCAGCCAAGUCGCGUGAGGGAAGACGGUUCUAUGGAUUGUAAACCUCUUUGUCAGGGAGCACUAAGCCACGUGUGGUGUAAAGAGAGUACCUGAAGAAAAAGC
rnacentral:rRNA from 1 species